AACAAACGCUGGCGGCGUGCCUAACACAUGCAAGUCGUACGAGAAAGUCGGCUUCGGCCGAUGAGUACAGUGGCGCACGGGUGAGUAGCGCGUGGGUAAUCUGCCCCCCGGUCAGGAAUAACCCGCCGAAAGGCGGGCUAAUACCCGAUAACACUGACGCUCCGCGGAGCGUCUUUCAAAGAAGGCCUCUGUUUACAAGCUUUCGCCGGAGGAUGAGCCCGCGUACCAUUAGCUAGUUGGCAGGGUAAUGGCCUACCAAGGCUACGAUGGUUAGCUGGUCUGAGAGGAUGGCCAGCCACACUGGAACUGAGACACGGUCCAGACUCCUACGGGAGGCAGCAGUGAGGAAUAUUGGUCAAUGGGCGCAAGCCUGAACCAGCCAUCCCGCCGUGCAGGAAGACGGCCCUAUGGGUUGUAAACUGCUUUUCCAGGGAGAGAAACUUACGCACGUGUUGCGUGACUGACGGUACCCUGGGAAUAAGCAUCGGCUAACUCCGUGCC
rnacentral:rRNA from 1 species